GGUGUCCUGGUGUAGUUGGGUAUCACAUCAGUCUAACACACUGAAGGUCUCCGGUUCAAGCCGGGGCGCUG
rnacentral:tRNA from 1 species